CAAAUUGGUGCCAGCAGUCGCGGUUAUACUAAUAAUGCAAGUAAAUUUUUUCAGUUUAAGUUAAAUUGUUGAUUUAAAAUAAAAAUAAAUUUAUUAGGUGAAAUUUUAAAUUUAUAGAUUUUUUAAGAGUAGAAUAAUUGAAGCUUACAAAUUUUUAAAGUAAACUAGGAUUAGAUACCCUAUUAUUAAAAAUGUAAUUAAUAAACUUGAGUAGUAUUAGUUAAGUUCUUGAAAUUUAAAAAAUUUGGCGGUAUUUUAGUCUAUUCAGAGGAACCUGUUCUGUAAUCGAUAAUCCACGAUGGACCUUACUUAAAUUUGUAUUAGUUUAUAUACCGUCGUUAUCAGAAUAUUUUAUAAGAAAAAUAAUUUUCAAUAUUUUCAAUUAGAAUUUAUAUCAGAUCAAGGUGUAGCUUAUAUUUAAGUAGAAAUGGGUUACAAUAAAAAUAUUUAUAUGGAUAUAAGAAUGAAACUCUUAUUGAAAGUGGAUUUGAUAGUAAAAUUAUAAAGAUAAAUAAUUUGAUUUUAGCUCUAAAAUAUGUACACAUCGCCCGUCGCUCU
rnacentral:rRNA from 1 species